AUUGAACGCUGGCGGCAGGCUUAACACAUGCAAGUCGAACGUGUGGCGGACGGGUGAGUAAUGCUUGGGAAUCUAGCUUAUGGAGGGGGAUAACUACGGGAAACUGUAGCUAAUACCGCGUACCAUAGGAUGAGGACAGAUGGGAUUAGGUAGUUGGUGAGGUAAAGGCUCACCAAGCCGACGAUCACUAGCUGGUCUGAGAGGAUGACCGGCCACACUGGGACUUAGACCCGGCCCAGACUCCUACGGGAGGCAGCAGUGGGGAAUAUUGCGCAAUGGAGGCAACCUGACGCAGCCAUGCCGCGUGAAUGAAGAAGGCUUUCGGGUUGUAAAGCGCUGUUAAUCGGGAGACGGUACCGGAAUAGAAAGCCACGGCUAACUACGUGCCAGCAGCCGCGGUAAUUC
rnacentral:rRNA from 1 species